CUGCGCGCAGGACGCGCCGCGGCUCUCCAUGCGCUCCAACCCGGAACGGAGCUCCGGACCAACCGGAGCCAGAUGUUGGUGAGGACGCGGCGCGGCGCGGACCGGACCUUUUACAUCAACAGGUCGACGCGCUGGAGAGAGGGGAAAGCGUUUCCUCAUCCACCUGCACACUGUGAGUAACUGUUA